UACGAAGGGGGCGAGCGUUGUUCGGAAUUACUGGGCGUAAAGGGCGCGUAGGCGGUGUGUCAAGUCAGGCGUGAAAGCCCCGGGCCCAACCUGGGAACGGCGCUUGAGACUGGCACGCUCGAGUUCGGGAGAGGAUGGUGGAAUUCCCAGUGUAGAGGUGAAAUUCGUAGAUAUUCGGAAGAACACCAGUGGCGAAGGCGACUCACUGGACAUGUAUUGACGCUGAGGUACGAAAGCGUGGGGAGCAAACAGG
rnacentral:rRNA from 1 species